rnacentral:misc_RNA from 1 species
GAUGAAGAACGUAGCGAAAUGCGAUACUUGGUGUGAAUUGCAGAAUCCCGUGAACCAUCGAGUCUUUGAACGCAAGUUGCGCCCGAAGCCAUUUGGUUGAGGGCACGUCUGCCUGGGCGACACAUAUCGUUGCCCGAUGCCUAUUGCGCUGUGAUAGGAAAUUCUAGGGCGAAAGAUGGCUUCCCGUGAGCGUUGUUGCCUCGCGGUUGGUUGAAAAUCGAGUCCUUGGUAGGGUGUGCCAUGAUAGAUGGUGGUCGAGUUUGCACGAGACCGAUCAUGUGUGCGCUCCCCAAAAUAUGGACUCUUUGACCCCACACGCGUCUUUUGACGCUCAUGACGAGACCUCAGGUCAGGCGGGGCUACCCGCUGAGUUUAAGCAUAUCAAUAAGCGGAGGA